rnacentral:rRNA from 1 species
UACGUAGGGGGCGAACGUUGUCCGGAAUCAUUGGGCGUAAAGAGCUCGUAGGCGGUUCGAUAAGUCGGGUGUGAAAACUUUGGGCUCAACCCAAAGCGUGCAUUCGAUACUGUUGUGACUAGAGUUCGGUAGGGGAGUGGGGAAUUCCUAGUGUAGCGGUGAAAUGCGCAGAUAUUAGGAGGAACACCGGUGGCGAAGGCGCCACUCUGGGCCGAAACUGACGCUGAGGAGCGAAAGCGUGGGUAGCAAACAGG